GACGAACGCUGGCGGCGUGCUUAACACAUGCAAGUCGAACGGAAAGGCCCUGCUUUUGUGGGGUGCUCGAGUGGCGAACGGGUGAGUAACACGUGAGUAACCUGCCCUUGACUUUGGGAUAACUCCAGGAAACUGGGGCUAAUACCGGAUAGGAGCUCCUGCUGCAUGGUGGGGGUUGGAAAGUUUCGGCGGUUGGGGAUGGACUCGCGGCUUAUCAGCUUGUUGGUGGGGUAGUGGCUUACCAAGGCUUUGACGGGUAGCCGGCCUGAGAGGGUGACCGGCCACAUGGGGACUGAGGUACGGACCAGACUGCUACGGGAGGCAGCAGUGGGGAAUAUUGCACAAUGGGCGGAAGCCUGAUGCAGCAACGCCGCGUGCGGGAUGACGGCCUUCGGGUUGUAAACCGCUUUCGCCUGUGACGAAGCGUGAGUGACGGUAAUGGGUAAAGAAGCACCGGCUAACUACGUG
rnacentral:rRNA from 1 species